rnacentral:rRNA from 1 species
CGGACGGGUGAGUAACACGUGGAUAACCUACCUAUAAGACUGGGAUAACUUCGGGAAACCGGAGCUAAUACCGGAUAAUAUUUUGAACCGCAUGGUUCAAAAGUGAAAGACGGUCUCGCUGUCACUUAUAGAUGGAUCCGCGCUGCAUUAGCUAGUUGGUAAGGUAACGGCUUACCAAGGCAACGAUGCAUAGCCGACCUGAGAGGGUGAUCGGCCACACUGGAACUGAGACACGGUCCAG